CUGUCACGGAGAGAAAAAAGGUUACCCAGCAAAUUAAAUAUUCAGAACAGCCAUUAAUUUUACAAAUUUUCGCGAGAGACGCCAUUUAUGCCAUGUGUUUGCCACGUAAUAAAGCGAGAAAAGCUCUUUAUUAUUGAAAUUGCGGCAGGCGACAGCAGGAAGAGAGAGAAAAUGUCUCGCGUGGAUCCACCCCGCUCGCUCGUACCUAGCCCGGCAAACACGCCGCACCGCACUUCCCGGAUUGUUUUAGGGUGCGCCAAAAAGCCGGGGAAACCGCCAGUCGAAGCUCAACCGGACGCUAGAAAUUAUUUAUGCUGGGACACGCCUGCCAACGCACGCGCACGUCGUGUACAUCCCCCUGGCACGCAAUGGCGGGGGCAGGUCGUUCCAGCACCGCGACGCAGCGAAUCUGAAGGAGCCUCGAAAUGCCACAGUGCGAUGUCUUGGAGUAGCAAAGAUGUGGGUGCACUGCCUCCUUGGAUAUCCGCUGUGGACCCAAUCCAGCUUUAGGAAUAGCAAUAUCCUACACUGGAACAACCUGUGAUAGUGUGAAAUUGUAUCACCGCUGGAAAUUAUCAGUACCGAACCAACAACAACGAGACAAAAAAGCAAUAAAUGAAGCAUAUAAAACAAAUUUUGGUCAACCGCCAGUCAUUGCGCCGGGGAGCCGAACACCCUCACAACGUCCUCCAUAGAGCGCAGCUGGAACACCUGCGCGCCGUCGCCUCUACGAGCGAAAACGCGGCCCCUCCUGGUCCAAGUGUACUUCCACUGGAGACGACGGCACUCCUCCCGAACCCGGUGAAAGAGCUGGCGAUUCAGCCGGGUCAGGCGCUCAUUGAUGAAAACUCUCGCUCCACCCUCGCCGGUGACACCGCGGCGCACACGCGCGGCCUGCAGCAGC